CUGAUGCUUGCGGGUGGCGUGGGGUGUUUGAUCUCUGCAGCUUCGUAGACGUCUGUUUAGACAGCUAACUUGCAGGUGGCUCUGGCAGGAUGGGGUGGCUCUCUCCCCACGUUUCCUGGGCUGGUCACACUCAUGCCGCGAUUCCCCUGCCCAAACACCACAAGCUGCGGUCCCUGUCCUCUGUCACAGCUCUGCUCGGCCGAGCACAGCCCUGGCUCCUGGGAGGACGACGCUGGUCCUCGGGCUGUGGGUAUUUGCCUUUCCCUGUGGCCAUAUUACAAUGCAGGCUGCUUUUUCUGGCCUAUCUUACGAAGACCGCUGCACCUCUGUCUCUGCAAUGUGUCCUCUUCAAAAUCACCUCCCUAAUCUUUGUGUUGUCUGCAAAUUUUAUUAGGGACAAGUCUUCUGCUUUUUUCCUGGUCAUAGAUAAAAGUUUGAAGCAGCACAAGACUGAGUUAAAGCUGAUCUGAAUGGGAGCUGCUGCUCACAGAUAUCUACAGAUAAAGCAUUUGCUGGAUUAGCUGGACAUUAGCAACUACACCCUCUGUGCUGUAUCAUGUGUUGCGUAGCCCUGCUACUGCCAGUGCAUGCGACUACCGCAUCUUGCUCUUCUAUAAAGUUCUGUCUCAUGAGCUGCAUUUGGACUUCAUCAGCUGUAUGGAGGACCAUUUCUGAAGACUUCUGAGGGAGCACCAGCUUUAGUAUGUGCCUUGUUGCUGGGUUCCCACGUGCCACUGUGUACCUGGGCAGAGCACCAGUUUGCAAAAAGGCCUUGGGAAACCGUGUGUGUCUGGGGCUAAGUGGCCAGGGUUUGUGUGGGAGGGAAGAGUGCCUGCAGGUAUCACACAGAGUGGGCUCUGCUGUGAUUUUGCUUCCAUGUACCGUAUUAAAUCUUUCAGCAGUAUAAGUAACAUUAGGACUACUGAAUUGCAGUGCGUGCAUGCAGGCAGCGCAGGCUGUCUCAGCCCCGCUGUAGUGCCUGAUGUCACUCUGCGGAAGCAGGCUCAUCCGUAUCCUCUGGGAGACAUGCUCCGAAGCCUGGCAGCGCGGUCCCUACCGCCCUCCAGCCUGGGACGCCCUAGAGAGGACUUGGUCCUUCCAGGGGGGUUGCUCUGCCCCAGGCUGGCUUGACCCAGCCUCCAUUUGGGUUUCCCUGUCUCCUGCUGAUGUUUCUGUUAGUAAAACAAUUAGACGUGUAUUUAUCAAGGCUUAGAUAAAGGCUCAAAAGAAAAUACAAUACUCAAAAGCAACACAAAUCCUCAUCUAGCCUAGCUUUACCUAGAAAAUACAUUCCUAGAUGUUUGUUGAGGCUGAGUAGCUGAUGUCUAGUUUUUCUUACGAUAACUUAACCCUCUGUUGGCCAUCUCAGCUCUGUGAAUGAAUGUGUCUUUUGACCUCAAAGACCAGAGACCCGGGUCUGUACCUCAGCCAAAAUGUAAAUGUAGUUGAUGGAGUAUACUCAACAGCUGACGCAUCGGCUAUUCCCAUGGCUGGCAGCCUCUCCCAACAUCACACCUUCUCAGCAUGGAGCUAUUUCGGGCUCAGCCGCUCUGCCUUUGCUCAAGUGAUGAGUGAAUGUCUUUAAUCUUUUGUUGAGGUUUGUAGCCCUGCGUGCAGCACACAUUCGUGGAGAGCCUUAGCUGCUCUGGCCUCUCACAGUGGUCUCAGUUUUGGACCGACAUCACUCAAGGCCUUUUUGAAUGUAUUAUUAGAAAGAUGCCUAACGUAUGAGAAAAACGUUGUCCUGAGUGGCUGGAGGUCAGCACUGUCUCCUGAACAGUGCAUGUUCCCUGCUGCUCUGCGCCCGGAUCCAAAGCCACGAUGUCCCCUCUGCAGCUCCCAGCAGGAGGAAGGCUGCUGCUUAUCCGCGGCAUGGAAGACUCUGCGCCGGGGGCUAUAAAGGCUUCAGUAAACACAUGCCACUGGCCCCUCUUCCCAGAAGGAUUUCUGGCUUGUGGGAGGAGAUGGUGUAUUCAGAUAGAUCCAUGAAACAUUUGCUGAUGCGUCUUUGGUCAUCUGCACAUUUUUCCGUAGGAGUGAUCUGGCUGAAAAAACAAAGAAUUCCAGCAGGUUUAGGUCUCAGACACCUGCGGAAUUAAAUAAAGCUAUGCCACAAUUACUAGUGUGAUAUGCUGAGAAGUUGAAGGCAGACGUUAAAAAUGAAACACAGAUUGUCCAAGGCUUACCAUGUAUUUCCAUUUGCUUUAGAAACCUUCCAUCUGUAGUGUUUGUGGUCACAUGAGGUGCAGGCUUAUUCUCGUAUUCAUGAAGCAAACAGAAAUUUCAGCAAGGAAUUCCUAAGUUGCUAAAAUGUGGCGCUCGCUUUUGAAAACAAGAAGCCGAUAAAACCAAGGGCCAGUUCACACAGGUGGCUGCUCCUGCAAGAUGUUUCAAAAACAUGUUUACUGUGCUGGCAUACUGCACAGAUGCAGGUGAGUCAUCUUGCUAAUUAUUUAUAUCAGACAACAGCUUUCUUAAGGCAGGCAAAAUUUGGAAAGUUUAACGUAAGAAGAAACACUGAAGAGCUGCCACGUACAGGAUUUCCCCUCAGAGCCCGAAAUCAUACGCCAGGUAAGCGGCUGCAUUGCCAAGCCACCGACAGCAAGCGGGGAGACAGGUGAGUGAGACUUCCCGCGGGCCUGGGCUCCGCUCGUCCCCCGCGGUACCCGGAGCAGGGCAGGGCCGCUGCUAGGGGCCGUGGGGAGCUGCCCCGCAGUACCAGUAGUGCAGCGCUGCGUGCGCCUGACGUGACCCAGCCGCUGCCAGAGUCCACAGACGGCUGCUUCCCCUUCCCCCUUUUAUGUAAAGCCAUGAGGAUCCACGACUCGUGUUCCUGGCAAUCCUGGCGAUUGUGGGGAUAAGCUUCCUUGCUUUGCUACAUAAUCCCACUUUCUCCUCCUCAACUGCUGACCUGUUUCCUGCUGCCGACCUGUUUGCUGGUGCGACCGGUUUGCGGGUCCGCUGGAAGAGCGGCUGCACACGCCGGGGCGCUCUUCUCUCAGACAGCCUUCAGCGACAUCUGGGAAGUUUCCUGGUGUGUUUUCUGUGCCUUGGGAUGUGAUUCUGUGCUGCUUCCACUGGAUUACUCUUAAAGAUGAAUCCAAAGGCAGGUUUUUGGUCCUGACUCAGCAGCUGAUGUGAAGAGAAGACAGAGAACGACUGUGCCAAGCCUUCAUCCUGAGACUGCCGCGUGGAAAACGCACGCCCUUGCCUGCUGAGUGGUUAGUGCCCUUGCCUGGCACUGCUGAGUCUUGUACACCUGCCGAGAAGAUCAAGCUCUCUGUGGGCUGCAAAGACUCUGGUUUCAGGGAAGACUCCAUGCUCCUGCUUUUGAUCCGUUGCACAGUACAAUACAUGCCUUUUUUAUUUUUUAAUAAGGCUGAGCUGAAAGGAGUUUGAAAACGAAGUUAAUGGUU